rnacentral:rRNA from 1 species
CAGAGAUGCUUUGGUGCCUUCGGGAACUCUGAGACAGGUGCUGCAUGGCUGUCGUCAGCUCGUGUUGUGAAAUGUUGGGUUAAGUCCCGCAACGAGCGCAACCCUUAUCCUUUGUUGCCAGCGGCUCGGCCGGGAACUCAAAGGAGACUGCCGGUGAUAAACCGGAGGAAGGUGGGGAUGACGUCAAGUCAUCAUGGCCCUUACGGCCAGGGCUACACACGUGCUACAAUGGCGCAUACAAAGAGAAGCGACCUCGCGAGAGCAAGCGGACCUCAUAAAGUGCGUCGUAGUCCGGAUUGGAGUCUGCAACUCGACUCCAUGAAGUCGGAAUCGCUAGUAAUCGUAGAUCAGAAUGCUACGGUGAAUACGUUCCCGGGCCUUGUACACACCGCCCGUCACACCAUGGGAGUGGGUUGCAAAAGAAGUAGGUAGCUUAACCUUCGGGAGGGCGCUUACCACUUUGUGAUUCAUGACUGGGGUGAAGUCGUAACAAGGUAGGCGUAGCGAG